rnacentral:rRNA from 1 species
CCUACGGGGGGCAGCAGUGGGGAAUAUUGCACAAUGGGCGCAAGCCUGAUGCAGCCAUGCCGCGUGUGUGAAGAAGGCCUUCGGGUUGUAAAGCACUUUCAGCGGGGAGGAAGGCGUUAAGGUUAAUAACCUUGGCGAUUGACGUUACCCGCAGAAGAAGCACCGGCUAACUCCGUGCCAGCAGCCGCGGUAAUACGGAGGGUGCAAGCGUUAAUCGGAAUUACUGGGCGUAAAGCGCACGCAGGCGGUCUGUCAAGUCGGAUGUGAAAUCCCCGGGCUCAACCUGGGAACUGCAUUCGAAACUGGCAGGCUAGAGUCUUGUAGAGGGGGGUAGAAUUCCAGGUGUAGCGGUGAAAUGCGUAGAGAUCUGGAGGAACACCGGUGGCGAAGGCGGCCCCCUGGGCAAAGACUGACGCUCAGGUGCGAAAGCGUGGGGAGCAAACAGGAUUAGAUACCCCUGUAGUC